UGGCGAACGGGUGAGUAACACGUGAGUAACCUGCCCUUGACUUUGGGAUAACUUCAGGAAACUGGGGCUAAUACCGGAUAGGAGCUCCUGCUGCAUGGUGGGGGUUGGAAAGUUUCGGCUGUUGGGGAUGGACUCGCGGCUUAUCAGCUUGUUGGUGGGGUAGUGGCUUACCAAGGCUUUGACGGGUAGCCGGCCUGAGAGGGUGACCGGCCACAUUGGGACUGAGAUACGGCCCAG
rnacentral:rRNA from 1 species